rnacentral:tRNA from 1 species
UGACGUGUAGCUCAACCGGCAGAGCAGGCGGCUGUUAACCGCCCGGUUGGAGGUUCGAGUCCUCCCUCGUCAG